rnacentral:ncRNA from 2 species
UAGAUCUCAAAUCAGGUAGGACUACCCGCU